rnacentral:rRNA from 1 species
UGGGGAAUAUUGGGCAAUGGGCGCAAGCCUGACCCAGCAAUACCGCGUGUGUGAAGAAGGCCUGAGGGUUGUAAAGCACUUUCAAUGGGGAGGAAAAAGGCAAGUUUAAUACGCUUGCCCUUGACAUUACCCAUACAAGAAGCCCCGGCUAACUUCGUGCCAGCAGCCGCGGUAAUACGAAGGGGGCUAGCGUUGCUCGGAAUCACUGGGCGUAAAGCGCACGUAGGCGGCUUCUUAAGUCAGAGGUGAAAUCCUGGAGCUCAACUCCAGAACUGCCUUUGAUACUGAGGAGCUUGAGUCCGGGAGAGGUGAGUGGAACUCCGAGUGUAGAGGUGAAAUUCGUAGAUAUUCGGAAGAACACCAGUGGCGAAGGCGGCAUCCUGGACCGGUAUUGACGCUGAGUGAGCGAAAGCCAGGGGAGCAAACGGGAUUAGAUACCCCUGUAGUCCCUGAGCGGGCUGGCAAGGCGCAU